UGAAAAGGCAUCAAGACCCCAAACGCGCCUUCCUCCAAAAAUCACUAACUCGGCCACAAGAACUGCAACUCGAGAGAAGAAAAUGGACAACAUUUAAAAGAAGAUGGGAGCGGAAUGCAGCAAAAGGCUACUACCACCACACCACUGAAGGAAAGCUGGCAAAAGGAGACUGAAAAACAGGGAAGCAGGAGGAGGAGGGGUUGCUGUUGAUUCUGCCCUCCCUCUCUCCUCACCCUCCUCUGCAUCGCCUCUUCCCUCCUCCUCCCUUCCUCCUCCGCUCCAUCCUCAGCAGACUGCCCUUUUUUCCUGUACAGCGAGACGCAGCCCGCGCCACCAUCUUAGAGCAACGCUGGCAUGAAAUGGAAGUGGGAAGACCAGUCAGUGCAGCAGAAUGUUGUCGGUGCAGGGGGAUCCGAAACGGCUGGAGCACACAACGAAGGAAUAACAGGACAACUCCUUCAGCAGCCGUUUGCCGCCUUCCAGCGUGGACUAAACAAGGAUGACGACGCGGAUGUCUGUCAGUGGCGGCAAAUUCCUGCCGUGACUUUGGAACAUCGCCACACUAUUGAUGCUGCUGUGUGAUGCAUUAUUUGCCCCAACAGUCAAGCUGGACUGUUUGUGAACGUGUUGGUUCACGGUGGACUGUGACUGUGGGAAACAAGGCUCAGAGAGAAGAUUAGCAGCUUGAGGUGUGGACAAACUGGUCCAUAAUUGUGACUCUUGCUUUUGUAUUUUGAGGGUGUGGCACUCUAUUUUGUAAUACUUAUAUAUUUAUACAUACAUUUAUACACAUUUGCCUAUAAACAACAGUACUUAGACAUGAGUUAGGAUCAACUAACAUAGGCCUGACUUACUGUAGGACAUAUUUGAUGAGUUGUAGCCCACAUUUAGUUCGAUUUCUGUUUUGUCAUAGUUGCUAGGACUCAAAGACACGUGAA